rnacentral:rRNA from 1 species
GCUUGUCUCAAAGAUUAAGCCAUGCAUGUCUAAGUAUAAGCUUUUGUACGGCGAAACUGCGAAUGGCUCAUUAAAACAGUUACAGUUUAUUUGGUGAUCGCUCACUACAUGGAUACCCGUGGUAAUUCUAGAGCUAAUACAUGCGUCAAGACCCGACUUCUCGGAAGGGUUGUGUUUAUUAGAUAAAAAGCCAAUCCAUGCUCUGCAUGGUAUUGUGGUGACUCAUAAUAACCGUUCGAAUCGUACGACGUAAGUCGACGAUGAAUCAUUCAAGUUUCUGACCUAUCAGCUUCCGACGGUAGGGUAUUGGCCUACCGUGGCUAUGACGGGUAACGGGGAAUUAGGGUUCGAUUCCGGAGAGGGAGCCUGAGAAACGGCUACCACAUCUAAGGAAGGCAGCAGG